CCCCAUUGAUUGCCAGGGUUGAUUCGGCUGAUCUGGCUGG
rfam:Anolis carolinensis unplaced genomic scaffold chrTn0017, whole genome shotgun sequence.